rnacentral:rRNA from 1 species
AACCUGGUUGAUCCUGCCAGUAGUCAUAUGCUUGUCUCAAAGACUAAGCCAUGCAUGUCUAAGUAUAAGUAUUAUACAGCGAAACUGCGAAUGGCUCAUUAAAACAGUUAUAAUUUAUUUGAUAAUCGAAUUUACAUGGAUAACCGUGGUAAUUCUAGAGCUAAUACAUGCUGUAAAGCCCGACUUCUCGGAAGGGCCGUGUUUAUUAGAUAACAGACCAACAGCUUCGGCUAUUGUGGUGAAUCAUAGUAACUAAUCGGAUCGCAUGGGCUAGUCCCGCGACAAACCAUUCAAGUUUCUGCCCCAUCAGCUUUCGACGGUAGUGUAUUGGACUACCGUGGCUUUUACGGGUAACGGAGGAUUAGGGUUCGAUUCCGGAGAGGGAGCCUGAGAAACGGCUACCACAUCUAAGGAAGGCAGCAGGCGCGUAAAUUACCCAAUUCUGAUUCAGAGAGGUAGUGACAAAGA